rnacentral:rRNA from 1 species
GUCGAGAAUUUUUCUCAAUGGGGGAAACCCUGAAGGAGCGACGCCGCGUGGAGGAUGAAGGUCUUCGGAUUGUAAACUCCUGUCAUUGGGGAACAAUGCGUGACGGUUAACUGCCGUCGCGUUGAUAGUACCCGAAGAGGAAGAGACGGCUAACUCUGUGCCAGCAGCCGCGGUAAUACAGAGGUCUCAAGCGUUGUUCGGAUUCAUUGGGCGUAAAGGGUGCGUAGGCGGCGCGGUAAGUCGGGUGUGAAAUCUUGGAGCUUAACUCCGAAACUGCAUUCGAUACUGCCGUGCUUGAGGACUGGAGAGGAGACUGGAAUUUACGGUGUAGCGGUGAAAUGCGUAGAUAUCGUAAGGAAGACCAGUGGCGAAGGCGGGUCUCUGGACAGUUCCUGACGCUGAGGCACGAAGGCCAGGGGAGCAAACGGGAUUAGAAACCCGGGUAGUCC